CCCCCCCCCCCCCCCCAAAAAAAAAAAAAAAACCCAACAGGGAAAAAAAAAUGCUCAGAGUUCAGAAGGAGAAACAACUUAAACGUCAAAAUUGAAGCAAAAUUACCAGAAGGAGUAUUAUAACCUUGCGUCGUAUCUACUUUAGCUGCAGAAGAAUCUAAGCAGUUUCCCAUUUGGUUACGCUUACGCACCAAAGAUACUUACUUUCUUAACUCACAAACACGCAAUGUUUUAUCUUUCUUCUUCUAAUGCUUCUUCUAAUGCUUCUCUAACAACAAAUAGCAGCCAUACCAUUAAACUGGCAACUCCAAUCCAAUCUAAAAGGGAGAAAGUUAAACAACAGGUACAAAAACUGGUGGGUUUUGUUGAAGAAGAGAGUUAGGUUCGAUAAGCAGGAAAAAUAAAGAAGAGGGAAGGUACCCAGUUGCCGUUUAUGAGAUGUCGUGUGAGAAAGAAAGAGGAAAGAAAGUGAGAAUGGAAAAGGAGAAAACGCAGGAGAGAAAGAGUAGCCCCUUUUGGAAUUUUGUAUUGUUGUGAAACAGUGUAGACACGACCAACGCGUGGGUACUUGGCUCGUAAAAAUGACGUGUGCACCUCUCUCUCUCUCUCUCUCUCUCUCUCUCUCUCUCUCCAACUCUACCGUUUUAGUUUGGUUUUGUUUGCUCUACUGUUGAGUUCACAUUAAUGCCCCUUUCCUGUAUAUUUCUGCUUAAAAUAUCAUAAAUGAAUAAUUACCUUAUUAUCCUUUUUUUUAUCUUUCUUAACUUUC
rnacentral:lncRNA from 1 species